GGGCGUAUGGUCUAGAGGUAUGAUACCUGCUUUGGGUCUAUUGUUAUAUCCUUUGCAGGGGGUCUUCGGUUCGAAUCCGGAUUCGCCCC